GACGAACGCUGGCGGCGUGCUUAACACAUGCAAGUCGAACGGAAAGGCCCUGCUUUUGUGGGGUGCUCGAGUGGCGAACGGGUGAGUAACACGUGAGUAACCUGCCCUUGACUUUGGGAUACUUCAGGAAACUGGGGCUAAUACCGGAUAGGAGCUCCUGCUGCAUGGUGGGGGUUGGAAAGUUUCGGCGGUUGGGGAUGGACUCGCGGCUUAUCAGCUUGUUGGUGGGGUAGUGGCUUACCAAGGCUUUGACGGGUAGCCGGCCUGAGAGGGUGACCGGCCACAUUGGGACUGAGAUACGGCCCAGACUCCUACGGGAGGCAGCAGUGGGGAAUAUUGCACAAUGGGCGGAAGCCUGAUGCAGCAACGCCGCGUGCGGGAUGACGGCCUUCGGGCUGUAAACCGCUUUCGCCUGUGACGAAGCGUGAGUGACGGUAAUGGGUAAAGAAGCACCGGCUAACUACGUG
rnacentral:rRNA from 1 species